CUGCCUGCUUCGUCCCCCAACCCUCGACGAUGAAAAGGACUUCGUCCCCCGGCCGCGCGGCUCCGGGGAAGGAAGACAGAGCGACCUCCGCCGCGCGCUCAGGGCCACUCUAGAGGGAGAAGCCGCCCCGAGGCCGGCAGAGCGCCCAGCCGCGGCGGAGACCGGAAGCCUUCCGGAGCCCAAGGCUGUGCACCGGCCCUGUGCUGAUUCUCUGCCUAGGAAAGGACCAUGCAGCCUGAGAUCAAAGUACCCCUGAACUUCAUCAUUUUCUACUCUUGUAUAACAAGCUGCUCUGGCGCUUCUGAAAAAGAAAUAAGAAGUCCACUGGUACCCUGACAAACCGCUGAAGGGCUCUGGCUUCCACCAUGUCCACAAUGGGGAGAUGGUGGACCCCUUUGGGGAGCUGGCCGCCAAGCGAAGUGGCCUGGCAGUGGAAGAUGUGCGGGCCAAUGUGCCUGAGGAGAUAAGCAUAUGGAUUGACCCCUUCGAGGUGUCCAACCAGAUUGGCGAGAAGGGAGCAGUGAAAGUGCUGUACCUGGAUGACAGUGAGGGCUGCGGGGCCCCAGAGCUGGACAUAGAGAUCAAGAGCAGUUUCAACCCUGACGACCAGAUACUCGUGCCUACCGGAAGCCAGGACAGCUCCUUGUCCAACUCCCUGUUGCCAUGCUUUUCCCAUCACCCAGCCCUACCUUCAUCCUCUGCCUCGCCAGCCCAUCACCUUCACCAUAGACUCCUUUGCUGCCACCAAAUUAGGCUCCAUGAAGAUAAAGAAGAGGGGUGGGGCAGCAAGUGGUAGAGGAGCAGCCAGCCGUGAGGCAGGUGGCCAGCAGCUACCACAGUAGCCUCCAUGGCCCGCUUCAGCACCAACAGCUUGUUGAAACACAAGAGUCUUUCUCUGUCUAUGCAUUCACUGAACUUCAUCCCGCUCAACCGGGCCCUCAAUCCUAGCUCUCGCCGAAGGCCACGUACAGUCUCAAGUACAACAGUGGCGACUCGCUCAGUUUCUUCUUUGAUGGGGCCGAUGGCCAGGGCAGUGGUACCCCAUCCCCCUUUGGAGGCAGUGGGACUGUCACCUGCAACAACAGCAGCUUCUGCAUGGUCUAGAUAUUUGGAGGUGGCACCACCUGCCUCUUCCUGGAGAAGCCACCCUUCAUGGAAGGCCUCAGCUACAACCUGAACACCAUGCAAUAUCCUAGUCAGCCCUUCCAGUCCAUGGUGCUGGCCAACUGACCGUCUACCUGCCCUGGGGCCAGGCACCCAAGACCACAGAAAAGAGAGAGAAAGAAAAGGAAAGGCCAAAAAAAAAAAAAAAAAAAAA